AGUACAUGCUGAGGAAGUCUUGAGGACUUUUCUUCGUCCUCAGGGAGUCGAUUCUGUAUCUCGAAACGAAGUGAAAAUUACAAAAGUGAGCAAAUAUACUAGAAUAUUCGUAAUUUCAUUAAUCAGUGCCUAGUGAAUGUGCUCACUUUUGUAAUUUUCACUUCGUUUCGAGAUACAGAAUUGACUCUCAGGACGUCCUCAGGACGUACCAGGAGAUCUUGUGUUGUCUGGGUAUAUAGAUGUAUUAAUGAAACUGAUUCAAGAGCAGCGAGUAGGAUUGGAGGGCGAGUUUUUUUAAUUCAUCGAUGGAUCCAUCGGUGAAUUAAAAACCGUACCUAGACAGAAAUGAAAAGUCAGGUCGACAUCGAUUCGACUUUUCAUUUCUGGCAGGUUAUUUUAGAAGGAUUGGUUCGACCGUCUGGGAAAUGUAACGGCGACUCGAAAGAGAAGGAUCUUACUCUUCCUGCAACGAGGUAUCAAGUCAAAUGGAAAACAAAUCAGCAACAGCAGUUAGUCGAACUUUAUCCUGAUUGUGACUAUGUAUUACCUCGAGGAUAAUUUUUGAACGGUGACGGCUGAUACUUGGGCUCGAUGUGGAUUCCGCUAGUGCUAUAGAACUCUGGCGAACUGUCCAAAUUAUAAGAAUGCGGUGUCUGGUGAUCUUGCGGCAAGCUGUGAUACUCAGAGGUAUCGUCGUAUCCGGAAUAAUGUGCCGGCGUCAUGUAACUCUCUGUGGCAGUCGUGCUAACUCUCAAGUCGCUCUCGUUAUUGCCUGUACCAGUGAGAUCACCCCCGCUGCCCAGUCCGCCACCUCCGCCUUGGAGAUGUUCCGCUAUGUGAUGAUUGCUGUAGUUCGCUGUAAGUUUAUUUUCACAAAUUAAUACACUUUGCUUCUUUGCUGUUAUAAUUCAAAUUAUUUAAAACAACUAGAAGUGUACAAUACCAAAGAUGUUCAGUGAGAACACUAUUGAGUAAAAAAACACUAUGUAAACAGACAUUUAGGAAACAAAGUACUUUAUGCUUAAUGUUACAAGUAUAUUGACGAGUAAGAUAAGAUAUAGAAAUAUAGUACUUACAUUCCGUUUUGAGCUGAUUUAAAUUCCGUAAAUGGAUGUACGCAUUGUUAGCAUUGUUGUUGUUAUUAUUAUUGUUAUUAGUAUUAGGAGUACUAGAGUGAGAGGUCGGUGGUUGAGUGCUAUGGCUGUGGGGCGGUGGCGACGUUUCGUCUCUUUGACUCUCGUCUUGGCACACGGGACUGCGAAGAUGAUUGUAACCGCCUGAAAACAGAAGAAAGAAAUAUUUUAUUUUUCGGUACUCUCCAACGCGGUACACAGUGUUCUCUCGUCGAUAUUAACGAGUACUUAGUUACGGCUUCGUCGCCGCUAAAUCAGACUAAGGAUCAAGGAAGAAAGGACAAUGCCGCACGUCUCUUCGCCGCAGCGUGCGACACUCUGCAAUGGAGGAACCGCUGACACGUGGGCGGCGCGUAUCUCGACGAUUGGCCCGAACCAACUCCGCCUAUCCUCGACUUCCGCUCUACGAUCACGAAGAGAGAACCCAAGCGAGCUGGCCGCGCGGAGAGCCGCCGAGGUUCCAUCGCGGAGGUUGUUGAGGCUGUGCGCGCACGUUCGGUAAAUGAAGAGCCUUCGAAUCGCCACAUGGUAUAUACUUAGCAACGUAGCAAUGUCGCGAUCGUUAAAUUAAUGAAGUGUUGUGACGCAGAUCAGCUCUGUCACGUACAAAUCCUUCAUGUUAAAUUGCACACCGCAGCAACUUGGAUUUAAGAUUCAAGUCUACAAGUCUUUUGAAAAUUCGAUUUUUCAAAGAUGUUUUGACCUACUUAACUCUUCAAAUUUUUGUAAGACUUAAGUUAGCUUUUCCUCGUACUAACAAGGGAACAUAGGCAAUCCGAAAAUUCACAAAAUUCUGAAACAUUGUGUACAAGUAGAGUAGUACAUCCAUAAUAUGACUAUUUUUUGUUUCUGCUAAAUUUCGAUUUAAGGGGGUGAAACCACCCCUCGAAACCAAUAAGUGGGUUCAAAGGGGGGUUUAAAAAUUUUUUAUUUUUGCAAAAUUUGAAUACACCGUUGCAAAGAAUAUAAAAUAUUCUAUCACUUUUAUAUAAACUAUUUUUUCAUAUGCCUUGUAUUUUAGGAAAU